UACGAAGGGGACUAGCGUUGUUCGGAAUUACUGGGCGUAAAGCGCACGUAGGCGGAUUUGUAAGUCAGGGGUGAAAUCCUGGAGCUCAACUCCAGAACUGCCUUUGAUACUGAAGAUCUUGAGUUCGGGAGAGGUGAGUGGAACUGCGAGUGUAGAGGUGAAAUUCGUAGAUAUUCGCAAGAACACCAGUGGCGAAGGCGGCUCGCUGGCCCGAUACUGACGCUGAGGCACGAAAGCGUGGGGAGCAAACAGG
rnacentral:rRNA from 1 species